rnacentral:rRNA from 1 species
GAGUUUGAUCCUGGCUCAGGAUGAACGCUGGCGGCGUGCCUAACACAUGCAAGUCGAACGGAGUCGUUUUGGAAAUCUCUUCGGAGAUGGAAUUCUCGACUUAGUGGCGGACGGGUGAGUAACGCGUGAGCAAUCUGCCUUUAAGAGGGGGAUAACAGUCGGAAACGGCUGCUAAUACCGCAUAAAGCAUCGAAACCGCAUGAUUUUGAUGCCAAAGGAGCAAUCCGCUUUUAGAUGAGCUCGCGUCUGAUUAGCUGGUUGGCGGGGUAACGGCCCACCAAGGCGACGAUCAGUAGCCGGACUGAGAGGUUGAACGGCCACAUUGGGACUGAGACACGGCCCAAACUCCUACGGGAGGCAGCAGUGGGGAAUACUGCACAAUGGGGGAAAGCCUGAUGCAGCGACGCCGCGUGAGCGAAGAAGUAUUUCGGUAUGUAAAGCUCUAUCAGCAGGGAAGAUAAUGACGGUACCUGACUAAGAAGCACCGGCUAAAUACGUGCCAGCCGCCGCGGUAAUUC